GGGAAUAUAGUUCAGAGGCAGAACAGCUACCUUUUAAGUAGCAUAUCUGGGUUCGAGCCCCAGUAUUCCCA
rnacentral:tRNA from 1 species